rnacentral:snoRNA from 1 species
AGACCGUGAUGAGGACACUUUCUUAGUAGCUCCUUGAACCUUUUCCAAGUUUCAUAUAAGGAUUCCCCUUCCUCUUGCGAAUAUGUAUUAAUUUCAGUAAUUAAUUU